rnacentral:rRNA from 1 species
UGCCAGCCGCCGCGGUAAUACGGAGGGGGUUAGCGUUGUUCGGAAUCACUGGGCGUAAAGCGCGCGUAGGCGGUCUGCAUAGUCAGGCGUGAAAGCCCCGGGCUCAACCUGGGAACUGCGCUUGAUACUAGUAGACUAGAGUCCGGGAGAGGGUAGUGGAAUUCCCAGUGUAGAGGUGAAAUUCGUAGAUAUUCGGAGGAACACCAGUGGCGAAGGCGGCUAACUGGCUCGGUACUGACGCUGAGAUGCGAAAGCGUGGGGAGCAAACAGGAUUAGAUA